rnacentral:rRNA from 1 species
GGAAGCGUAGUAAUGCGUUGAGCUAACCCGUACUAAUUGCCCGUGAGACUUAACCAUACAACACCCAAGGUGUUUGG